UGAUUAAAUUAUGAAAGAUAUAACCUAAUUGGUAGAUUAAUCUGCUGAUCUAUUAACUGGGCAGUGACUGUAAGAAGAUAGGGUAGGCUUAAGGAAGUAGGUCACUGGGGAUAUGACUUUGGGGUUUACCUUUUGCUCCUGUGAGUGGAGCACUCUCUCUGCUUCCUGGUUGCCAUAUCCUGAGCCGCUUUCCUCCAUGACACCCUUCUGCCAUGAUGUUCUGCCUCACCUUAGGCCCAGAGCUAUGGAGUUGGCUAAACAAGGACUGAACCUCUGAAACUGUGAGCCAAAAUAAAUUUUUCCUCCUCUACAUUUUUCUUGUCAGGUCUUUUGGUUACAGCAAUGAAAAAGCUGACUAAAACAGUAUUCUUCCAGAAAUAUUCAUAGUGGUCAUUACAUAAAUAUUAGUUUCUUUCUGUUCCCUUUUGAAUACCACAGCACCUAGUAGAGAGCUGAGUCCUUUGCAAGGGUCAAGAUGUGAUUGCACAUUACUGUCUAAAACUUUACAUGGGAAUAAAUAGUACAGAAAAUUAGCCUGGAUGGGAUAAUGCCAGAUAAUGCUGGGUACUUCAGGGGAAAAAUGUUUGUCAGUCCAUCUUUAUGUAAUGGACUUUUUUUUUUUUUGGCAUAAGAGCUAAGUACAGAAAUUUUUCAAUUAACAGGGCUCAUUACUUGGGUGCAAGUGAAUAUAAGUUUUACUAUUACCACAACUUCUUCAAAUGUGCUGAAACAGGAAAUGCAAACUUCACUUACCCCAACUGAAAAGCUAACCAAGCAGAGGAAAUCAAACUCAUAAUGUGGCUGAUAGUGUCAACUGCUAUACAUACGCAGAUAGAGGAAACCUGUAUUGACAUAAUAAUAAUAAUAAAUAUGUAAAGAAAGCUCAUGGUUUACCAAUAAAAUCAUUUACCAUGUUGCUGACUUUACUGGAAAAUGAUGCUUUAUUACAAGUCUCUCAAUUUGAUUGAUACCUAAUUAAAAAUUCACUAGGCUCAACUUCAAGUACCUCAAGCUAUAUUAAAGUCACUGCUAUACCAAUGGAGGCAUAAUAUCAUUUAAAACCAAAGCAAGUAUGAUCAUUUAUUUAAAACUUAGAAAUAGUUCUGAAAAUUGCAAAGUUGCAUAAAAUCUGU
rnacentral:lncRNA from 1 species